UAAAUGUUUUUAAAAAAAUAUUCGAAAAUAAAACUAAAAAAUAAACAAUAGGGUAUUCACCUUAGGAUUUAGUCUCUGAUUCUGUGAUCUGGAUUGCUCGGCUGCUUUUUGUUUAUCUAAAUGAUGAGGGAAGAUUGCUAUUGUUUAGGAUUUAGAAUGUUUUCUUAUUUUUCUUGUUUUCAAAACUGUCGAACCCUUUACAAUGCUUUUUGAAUCGGGUUUUAUAACCCUUUUUACAAACUUUUUCUAUUAUUCUGUCAUGUCUUCUGUCUUGGUCUUUGCAGG
rnacentral:lncRNA from 1 species